rnacentral:misc_RNA from 1 species
GGAAGUAAAAGUCGUAACAAUGUUUCCGUAGGUGAACCUGCGGAAGGAUCAUUACUGAGUGAGGGCCCUCUGGGUCCAACCUCCCACCCGUGUUUAUUAUACCUUGUUGCUUCGGUGAGCCCGCCUCACGGUCGCCGGGGGGCAUCUGCCCCCGGGCCCGCGCCCACCGAAGACACCUAGAACUCUGUAUGAAGACUGCAGUCUGAGCAAAAACUAAAUAAGUUAAAACUUUCAACAACGGAUCUCUUGGUUCCG